AGUAAUACCGGUUCCAGUAUGAUCACUGAAGUUAAGCAACUUCGAGCCUGGAUAGUACCACGUUGGGUGACCGCUUGGCUAUACCUGGUGUUGUAA